UAAUUCCGUGCCAGCAGCCGCGGUAAUACGGAAGGUGCAAGCGUUAUCCGGUUUUAUUGGGUUUAAAGGGUGCGUAGGCGGCUUAUUAAGUCAGUUGUGAAAUCCUAGUGCUUAACGCUAGAACUGCAAUUGAUACUAUUAGGCUUGAGUUAAGAAUAGGUAAGUAGAAUUUAUGGUGUAGUAGUGAAAUGCUUGGAUAUCAUAAGGAAUACCAAUAGCGUAGGCAGCUUACUGGUCUUUAACUGACGCUGAGGCACGAAAGCGUGGGGAGCAAACAGGAUUAGAUACCCUGGUAGUCCACGCCGUAAACGAUGAUCACUCGGUAUACAUAAAUUUAUGUGUGUCUAAG
rnacentral:rRNA from 1 species